UACGUAGGGGGCAAGCGUUGUCCGGAUUUAUUGGGCGUAAAGAGCUCGUAGGUGGUUCGGUAAGUCGGAUGUGAAAUCUCCAGGCUCAACCUGGAGGGGUCAUUCGAUACUGCCGUGACUAGAGUUCGGUAGGGGAGUGUGGAAUUCCUGGUGGAGCGGUGAAAUGUGUUGAUAUUGGCAGGAACACCGGAGCCGAAAGGGAAGUACUGGGGCUUAACUGACACUGAGGCACGAAAGCCAGGGGAGCAAACGGG
rnacentral:rRNA from 1 species